rnacentral:rRNA from 1 species
GACGAACCGUGCGAACGUUGUUCGGAAUCACUGGGCUUAAAGGGCGCGUGAGGCGGGCGGGCAAGUCGGAGGUGAAAUCCCACAGCUUAACCUGUGGAAGUGCCCCCGAGUACGUGCCCGUCUGGAGGGGGAUAGGGGCGUGCGGAACUUCCGGUGGAGCGGUGAAAUGCGUAGAUAUCGGAAGGAACACCGGUGGCGAAAGCGGCGCGCUGGAUCCCUUCUGACGCUGAGGCGCGAAAGCCAGGGGACGCAAAGCGGG